rnacentral:misc_RNA from 1 species
GAUGAAGAACGUAGCGAAAUGCGAUAAGUAAUGUGAAUUGCAGAAUUCAGUGAAUCAUCGAAUCUUUGAACGCAUCUUGCGCUCCUUGGUAUUCCGAGGAGCAUGCCUGUUUGAGUGUCAUUUAACUUCUCAACCACAUUGGAUAUUUUUUUUCCGAUGCCGGCUUGGAUGUGGGGGUUGUUUGCAGGCUUUUUGUAACAAAAAAGGUCGGCUCCCCUGAAAUGUAUUAGUGGUAUCUGAGGCUAUUACUAUUAGGUGUGAUAAUUAUCUAUGCCUUUUGGGUAUGCCGCAUGAACAGAUUAUGCUGCUUCUAACGAAGACUAUUUUGAUGAAUUUGACCUCAAAUCAGGUAGGACUACCCGCUGAACUUAAGCAUAUCAAUAAGCGGAGGA